AUGUCGGGGGCGACGGAGACGGCGACCUGGGAGGAGAUGCUGCGGCGGAUGCUGCCGCCGGGGACCGCCAUCCCGGAGGGCGCGGCGGGGAACCUCGACUACUCCAUCGCGCUCGAGUACGACGGCCCGCCCGUCGCCUACGAGGUGCCCAGGAUCGCCCCCGUCGACAUGGCGGACGUGCCCACGGCCGAGCCUGUCUCCGCCUCCUACGGGCUCCUCGGGAACGGCGGCGCCACCGUGCCCGUCGCGCCCGUCUUCAGGCCGCCGGCGAGCCGGGCGCGCGCCGAGCCGCCGCAGGCCAGGAGAGGCGCGGGGCCGGCCGACUCGGCGCCGCGUGACGAGGCCUCCAGGCCGGCAACCCGGGCGCGCCAGGAGCCGCCAUCGCCCGUGCAAGUUAGGAGGAGCUCAGAGUUUGCCCAUUCAGGCCCCCAGAAUGAGGGGUACUCCGACUCUGACGAUGACUCCCGGCGCUCCGUGUCGCGCGAGUCUGCGCCGAGUUACCGGGGCCAGAACGACGGCGGCAGGCAUGCCAUGGCUGCGCCGCAGGGGAGGAGGUCUCACGUGGUGACCUUCGGGCUGGCAGAUGAUAGCAAGUAUGACCAGAGCAGCGAGCUCGACGACACCAGGUCGGAGCAGUUCGUGGCGGUGACCAGGACGGAGAAGAGGGGGAAGACCUGCGACCGGUGCGGCAAGAGGAAGUGGGAGAGCAAGGAGUCGUGCAUCGUCUGCGACAAGAGGUACUGCGGCUACUGCCUGCUGAGGGCCAUGGGAUCGAUGCCGGAAGGACGCAAGUGUAUCACUUGCAUUGGCCGGCCGAUCUAUGAGGGCAGGCGGUCGAAGCUGGGGAAGAGCUCGAGGAUAUUAUCACGGUUGCUCAGCUCGCUGGAGGUAAGGCAAAUCUUGAAAGCCGAGAAGGAGUGCCAGGCCAACCAGCUCCGGCCCGAGCAACUCAUCGUCAAUGGCUUCCCUCUUUGUCAAGAAGAGAUGUCAGACUUGCUUAGCUGCCCACGGCCUCCUCAAAAUCUGAAGCCCGGUAGAUAUUGGUAUGACAAGGAGUCAGGCCUAUGGGGAAAGGAAGGGGAAAAGCCAAACAGGGUUGUCAGCACCAACCUGAACUUCAAUGGAAAGAUUCAGCCCAAUGCUAGUAAUGGCAACACUCAGGUUUAUAUGAAUGGAAGGGAAAUUACCAGCAUCGAACGGAAAAUUCUGAGGUUUGCACAAGUUCAAUGUCCCCGCGAUACUCACUUCUGGGUCUAUCAUGAUGGUGGAUAUGAGGAAGAAGGCCAAAAUAAUAUCAAAGGGAAGAUAUGGGAGUCACCUUUGACACGUUUUGUGUGCACCUUGGUUUCACUACCGGUGCCUCCUGCAAACUCUGUUGAGCCCAGAGAUGAUGCUCCUUAUUCAGCAAGAACAGUGCCCGAAUACUUAGACCAGAAAAGGAUACAAAAACUUCUUAUUCUUGGAUCACCUGGAGCUGGAACAAGCACCAUAUUUAAGCAGGCUAAGUUACUAUAUGGAAGUAGAUUUACCCCAGAAGAACUUGACAAUAUCAAACUAAUGAUCCAAAGCAACAUGUUUAAGUACCUUGGGAUUCUGCUAGAGGGCCGUGAGCGCUUCGAGGAAGAGGCUUUGGCUAUAUCAAAUAACCCAAACUCAGAGGAUGAGGAUACACAACAAGAGGAAAACGAAUCGAGUGGUUUAAAUUCCUGCAUAUACUCAAUAAAUGCAAAGCUGAAGAAGUUCUCAGAUUGGCUUUUGGACAUCAUAGCAAUGGGAGACCUAGAUGCCUUCUUCCCUGCAGCUACACGUGAAUAUGCUCCAGUCGUUGAUGAGUUGUGGAAGCAUCCUGCCAUACAAGCAACAUAUAAAAGAAAGGACGAAUUGUAUUUUCUCCCUGAUGUCGCUGAAUAUUUCUUGAGCAGGGCUAUUGAAGUAUCAAGCAAUGAGUAUGAACCUUCAGAGAAAGAUGUCUUGUAUGCUGAAGGAGUAUCACAAGGAAAUGGAUUGGCCUUUAUUGACUUCACUCUGGACGAACGGAACCCUAUGUCAGAACUCUAUGGUGACAGUCAUGACCCAAGCUCCCAGGCACAAAACAAAUAUCAGCUGAUUAGAGUCAAUGCCAAGGGCUUGAAUGAGGGCUGCAAAUGGGUUGAAAUGUUUGAGGAUGUCCGCGCGGUUAUAUUCUCUGUAGCACUCAGCGACUAUGACCAGCUGGGAGCCCCUGCCAGUGGCACCAGUAGGCGCCUCGAGAAUAAGAUGAUUCAGAGCAAGGACUUGUUUGAGGCCACAAUCAGGCACCCGUCUUUCCGCGACACACCAUUCGUCCUGGUGCUCAACAAGUUCGACAUCUUUGAGGAGAAGAUCGGGCGGUCCCCACUCACCGCCUGCGAGUGGUUCAGCGACUUCGACCCGCUCCGCACCCACAACAACCAGUCGAUGGCACAGCAGGCGUUCUUCUAUGUGGCGAUGAAGUUCAAGAACCUGUACGCGGCGCACACGGGCGACCGGAAGCUCUUCGUGUGGCAGGCGCGUGCCCGCGACGGCCCCACCGUCGACGAGGCCUUCCGAUACAUCAGGGAGGUGCUCCGGUGGGAGGACGAGAAGGAGUACGGGGGCUUCUGCCCGGACGAGUCCUUCUACAGCACCACCGAGCUCAGCUCCUCCCGCCUCGUCGAACAAGACUGGCAGCAACAUCCUGCCGCCGACCAGAGACAAGGGAGCACAUAG
rnacentral:rRNA from 1 species